GUGUCCAAAGAGUUGACCAUUUCUGGCCCGUUCUCGUGUAUGUCAAGCCUUGGUAAGGUUCUUCGCGUUGCAUCGAAUUAAUCCGCAUGCUCCGCCGCUUGUGCGGGCCCCCGUCAAUUCCUUUGAGUUUUAGCCUUGCGGCCGUACUCCCCAGGCGGGGCGCUUAAUGCGUUAGCUACGACACGGAAACCGUGGAAAGGUCCCACAUCUAGCGCCCAACGUUUACGGCGUGGACUACCAGGGUAUCUAAUCCUGUUCGCUCCCCACGCUUUUCGCUCCUCAGCGUCAGUAAGUGCCCAGAGACCUGCCUUCGCCAUCGGUGUUCCUCCUGAUAUCUGCAGCAUUCCACCGCUACACCAGGAAUUCCAGUCUCCCCUACACCACUCAAGUCUGCCCGUACCCACUGCAGGCUAGAGGUUGAGCCUCUAGUUUUCACAGCAGACGCGACAAACCGCCUACGAGCUCUUUACGCCCAAUAAUUCCGGACAACGCUCGGACCCUACGUAUUACCGCGGCUGCUGGCACGUAGUUAGCCGGUCCUUUUUCUGCAGGUACCGUCACCCGAAGGCUUCUUCCCUACUAAAAGCGGUUUACAACCCGAAGGCCGUCAUCCCGCACGCGGCGUUGCUGCAUCAGGCUUGCGCCCAUUGUGCAAUAUUCCCCACUGCUGCCUCCCGUAG
rnacentral:rRNA from 1 species